rnacentral:rRNA from 1 species
AGUGGCGGACGGGUGAGUAACGCGUGAGAAUCUGCCUUCAGGUCGGGGACAAUAGAGGGAAACUUCUGCUAAUCCCGGAUGAGCCUUAGGGUAAAAAAUUUAUUGCCUGGAGAUGAGCUCGCGUCUGAUUAGCUAGUUGGUAAGGUAAAAGCUUACCAAGGCAACGAUCAGUAGCUGGUCUGAGAGGAUGAGCAGCCACACUGGGACUGAGACACGGCCCAGACUCCUACGGGAGGCAGCAGUGGGGAAUUUUCCGCAAUGGGCGAAAGCCUGACGGAGCAAGACCGCGUGGGGGAGGAAGGCUCUAGGGUUGUAAACCCCUUUUCUUUGGGAAGAACAAAAUGACGGUACCAAAGGAAUCAGCCUCGGCUAACUCCGUGCCAGCAGCCGCGGUAAUACGGAGGAGGCAAGCGUUAUCCGGAAUGAUUGGGCGUAAAGCGUCCGCAGGUGGCAAUGUAAGUCUGCUGUCAAAACCCAGGGCUCAACUCUGGUCAGGCAGUGGAAACUACAUAGCUAGAGUUCGGUAGGGGCAAAGGGAAUUCCCGGUGUAGCGGUGAAAUGCGUAGAGAUCGGGAAGAACAUCGGUGGCGAAAGCGCUUUGCUAGACCGAAACUGACACUCAGGGACGAAAGCUAGGGGAGCGAAUGGGAUUAGAUACCCC